rnacentral:lncRNA from 1 species
UAAAGAGAGAACUACUUCUUGUGUUGGGUCAGUCCUAGCACAUGUCUCCACAUGUGCCCACAUUAUUAGUUUAACAUCUCCAUGUCCAUGAAUUGUGAAACAUAGUCAUCAACUAAUACAUGUGCUAGUAUAAUAUUCAUGUGUCUCCUCACAUGAACCCUGACUAGGGACAACUUUAGAAAAACCAUACAAGUAAAGAGUUUCACAUACAAUUCACAUAAUUGCAAAUCAAUUCAAGUAGCCUUUAAUGGAUAUUCAAUGAACACAAUAUACAAAUCAUGGAUACAAAUGGAAUAUCAUCAUCUCUAUGAUUGCCUCUAGGGCAUACCUCCAACAGCCCCC